UACGGGGGGGGCAAGCGUUGUUCGGAAUUACUGGGCGUAAAGCGCGGGUAGGCGGCUUUGUAAGUUAGAGGUGAAAGCCCAGGGCUCAACCCUGGAAUUGCCUUUAAGACUGCAUCGCUUGAACAUCGGAGAGGUAAGUGGAAUUCCGAGUGUAGAGGUGAAAUUCGUAGAUAUUCGGAAGAACACCAGUGGCGAAGGCGACUUACUGGACGAUUGUUGACGCUGAGGUGCGAAAGCGUGGGGAGCAAACAGG
rnacentral:rRNA from 1 species